GACUUGCUUCCCUCUUUGGCUCCUCCACCCCGUCUUCCUGAGACGACCAUUCGCCCUGUGGGGAGGAUCGAGAUUCCGCCUCAGUCUGUCCGCUAUGCAAGGCCGAUUGGUAUCACCGAGGACCAUAUUGCUGACGCGCCAGCGGGUUACAGACAGGCGCAGGAGUCUCUGCCCGAGGUCUUUGAGCCGCCUAACCGCC